AUUGAACGCUGGCGGCAUGCUUUACACAUGCAAGUCGAACGGCAGCACGGGCUUCGGCCUGGUGGCGAGUGGCGAACGGGUGAGUAAUGCAUCGGAACGUGCCCAUUUGUGGGGGAUAACUACGCGAAAGCGUGGCUAACACCGCAUACGCCCUGAGGGGGAAAGCGGGGGAUUCUUCAGAACCUCGCGCAAUUGGAGCGGCCGAUGUCAGAUUAGCUUGUUGGUGAGGUAAAGGCUCACCAAGGCGACGAUCUGUAGCGGGUCUGAGAGGAUGAUCCGCCACACUGGGACUGAGACACGGCCCAGACUCCUACGGGAGGCAGCAGUGGGGAAUUUUGGACAAUGGGGGCAACCCUGAUCCAGCCAUGCCGCGUGAGUGAAGAAGGCCUCGG
rnacentral:rRNA from 1 species